AAUCUUCCACAAUGGGCGAAAGCCUGAUGGAGCAACGCCGCGUGAGUGAAGAAGGUUUUCGGAACGUACCACUCUGUUGUACGGGAAGAACAAGUACAGUAGUAACUGUCUGUACCUGGACGGUACCUUAUUAGAAAGCCACGGCUAACUACGUGCCAGCAGCCGCGGUAAUACGUAGGUGGCAAGCGUUGUUCGGAAUUAUUGGGCGUAAAGCGCGCGCAGGCGGUCCGUUAAGUCUGAUGGGAAAGCACACGGCUCAACCGUGGAGGGUCAUUGGAAACGGGGGGACUUGAGUGCAGAAGAGGAAAGUGGAAUUCCAAGUGUAGCGGUGAAAUGCGUAGAGAUUUGGAGGAACACCAGUGGCGAAGGCGACUUUCUGGUCUGUAACUGGCGCUGAGGCGCGAAAGCGUGGGGAACAAACA
rnacentral:rRNA from 1 species